ensembl:lncRNA
ACAUUUGCUAGUCCUUAUCCUCUGAUCAUUCAGUCUUAUUAGAGCACAGUGCAGAAUCUUGCCAGCCUCUACACUUGCAUUUCCUUCUAAGAGAAGUCAGAAUAUCUGGAAGGAGAAGGUUUCCACGGAGAUCUCAUUCUUAAACUUGGCAGAUAGUGCCCAAAAAACUGACUGAAGAGGGAUUUGGGAAUGACUGCUAGGCACAGAAGUGUUUCAUUUUAAUAUGGUGAUGCUAAGCCACCCACAUGAUGCCAGUGUGAAACAUGAAUGCAAUUCUCUCAUGCUACAUGCAAAGAUCUGCUAAGAUUUCAUGAGUAAUUUUGUACAUUGAAGACUCAUGUCAAAGAAAAGGAAAUUCAAUACAGAAGAGUUCCUGGAAAUAGUUAUGAGAAUAAUAAAACAAAGAAAGCUGAGCACAAAAGACUAAAACAAAGGAGCAAGCUGAAACCUGAGAAGGCAUACAGGAGUUCAACAGUCAGGAACAAGAGACUGUUCUGUGGAAAGCAGAUAAAGAAAAUUUUUGCAAGCUGGAUAAAAACAAUUAACAAAGAUGGUAACAAGCAGGAACCAUCUUCAAUUUGGAUACUUGUGAAAAUAAUAUGGACAAAACUUGUCAUUUGUUUCAAGGAGACAGAAACAGAGAGGAAGAGAAUGCAAGUUACUUACAUUUAAUUGGAAGGAAAAUUAAAGAAAAACUGCAAAUACUGUAAUGAGUUAAGGAACAUACUCUGUUCAGAGUCAGUUGCCAUAAAGGAUGAACUAUUUCUUGUUGAGAGAACUGUUACAGGCUGGUUCAAUGUGACUGAUGCAUGGAAUGGAGAGUUGAACAAAGAAGAGGCAGAAAAGGGGAUUAAGUAUGCGUCAGAAAUAAAGUUUAUACACUUAGCACAUAGCCUUUUCUACUUCAAAUGAUGCUAGUAAACACAAUAUAGAGAAAACACAGUUGUCAUCACACAUGUUUAUUUAAUAAUGUAUAAAGCUGAAUACACUUCAUUAAAUUAAGUUGCAGUAG